UUGGUGUUGGCCGUCUAUCUCCAUGUGUGUUUUUCUAAGGCUCCACCUUUGCAGGCGUCCCAGCCCUGCCGGCAGGCUGUGGCCUGUGUCACCUGCUGAAAUGUGGGGUGGCAGGAGCUGGUGCGUCUGCUCCGCACAAGUGUCCCAUAAGGGAGUGCCCCCUGCUGUCAUAUAGGCUCUUCCUCUGUGCAGGUAUGGAUAGUUGCCUGUGUGCCCAGUUGUAUGAGGAAAAGGGCUGUCAUUCAUGGUACAGCUAAAACAUGUCUUCACAGCAAUCCAAUGUGAGAAUGUCCAUGCUGGAGCUUUGAAGCUGCAGGCAACAUUUAAGCGUGAUACUUGUCUCUGUUUCAGGGUAGCCGAGACUACUGGACAAAGAACCCCAGGGAGAUUUGCUGCUGCAAAAGGGUAUCCGUGGUGUCUGUGCUGUGCCACACACCUCACUGGGAACCAACUCCUCCCAGGAAGAGAGCAGCUUGACCAGGAAAGAUGUGGAAAGGAAGGGAGAGGUAAUUAAGUCAGGACACUUGCACCCCUUGGAUGCUUCUGCUCCUCCAGAGCAAGGAUGUAGACAAAGCAACCUGCUUCUCAAAGAAAAGUACACAAACGUUGAAAGGUAAAUGUAAAGCUGCCAUGGCAAUUUAGGCAGCUUUUAGACCACAGAAAGCACACUAAAUCUCAUUAGAUCCCUCCUAGAAAUCUUAAAACUUGAAUUCAGCACUUGUGCUCUGUAGCCUCAGCUG